rnacentral:tRNA from 1 species
AUUAAUCUAGUUUAUAAAAAUGUUUCUUUGUGGCAGAAAAGAUAGUUAGUUUAGCUGAUUAAUU